rnacentral:hammerhead_ribozyme from 1 species
AUCCAGCUGAGAAGUCCCAAAUAGGAUAAAACGUGAGUCCUGGAU